rnacentral:rRNA from 1 species
GACGAACGCUGGCGGCGUGCUUAACACAUGCCAGUCGAACGAAGAGCGAUGGAAGCUUGCUUCUAUCAAUCUUAGUGGCGAACGGGUGAGUAACGCGUAAUCAACCUGCCCUUCAGAGGGGGACAACAGUUGGAAACGACUGCUAAUACCGCAUACGAUCUAAUCUCGGCAUCGAGGAUAGAUGAAAGGUGGCCUCUACAUGUAAGCUAUCACUGAAGGAGGGGAUUGCGUCUGAUUAGCUAGUUGGAGGGGUAACGGCCCACCAAGGCGAUGAUCAGUAGCCGGUCUGAGAGGAUGAACGGCCACAUUGGGACUGAGACACGGCCCAGACUCCUACGGGAGGCAGCAGUGGGGAAUCUUCCGCAAUGGACGAAAGUCUGACGAAGCAACGCCGCGUGAGUGAUGACGGCCUUCGGGUUGUAAAGCUCUGUUAAUCGGGACGAAAGGCCUUCUUGCGAAUAGUGAGAAGGAUUGACGGUACCGGAAUAGAAAGCCACGGCUAACUACGUG